AACGUACGCUGGCGGCACGCCUAACACAUGCAAGUCGAACGAAGUAGCAAUACUUAGUGGCAGACGGGUGAGUAACAUGUAGGUAUCUGCCCUUUGGCCUGGAAUAACACGAGGAAACUUGUGCUAAUACCGGAUAAGUCUUUACGGAGAAAGCUUUAUGCACCAUUGGAUGAGCCUGCACUUGAUUAGUUUGUUGGUGGGGUAAUGGCCUACCAAGACUGUGAUCAAUAGCUGAUUUGAGAGGAUGAUCAGCCACAUUGGGACUGAGACACGGCCCAAACUCCUACGGGAGGCAGCAGUGGGGAAUCUUGCACAAUGGAGGAAACUCUGAUGCAGCGAUGCCGCGUGAGUGAAGAAGGCCCUUGGGUUGUAAAGCUCUUUCGUCGGGGAAGAAAAUGACUGUACCCGAAUAAGAAGGUCCGGCUAACUUCGUGCCAGCAGCCGCGGUAAUACGAAGGGACCUAGCGUAGUUCGGAAUUACUGGGCUUAAAGAGUUCGUAGGUGGUUGAAAAAGUUAGUGGUGAAAUCCCAGAGCUUAACUCUGGAACUGCCAUUAAAACUUUUCAGCUAGAGUAUGAUAGAGGAAAGCAGAAUUUCUAGUGUAGAGGUGAAAUUCGUAGAUAUUAGAAAGAAUACCAAUUGCGAAGGCAGCUUUCUGGAUCAUUACUGACACUGAGGAACGAAAGCAUGGGUAGCGAAGAGGAUUAGAUACCCUCGUAGUCCAUGCCGUAAACGAUGUGUGUUAGACGUUGGAAAUUUAUUUUCAGUGUCGCAGGGAAACCGAUAAACACACCGCCUGGGGAGUACGACCGCAAGGUUAAAACUCAAAUGAAUUGACGGGGACCCGCACAAGUAGUGGAGCAUGUGGUUUAAUUCGAAGAUACGCGCAGAACCUUACCAACACUUGACAUGUUCGUCGCGACUCUAAGAGAUUAGAGUUUUCGGUUCGGCCGGACGAAACACAGGUGCUGCAUGGCUGUCGUCAGCUCGUGUCGUGAGAUGUUGGGUUAAGUCCCGCAACGAGCGCAACCCUCACUUUUAGUUGCCAUCAUUAAGUUGGGCACUCUGAAAGAACUGCCAGUGAUAAGCUGGAGGAAGGUGGGGAUGACGUCAAGUCCUCAUGGCCCUUACGUGUUGGGCUACACACGUGCUACAAUGGUAUCUACAACAGGAAGCAAGACUGCGAAGUUAAGCAAAUCCCUAAAAGAUACCUCAGUUCGGAUUGCACUCUGCAACUCGAGUGCAUGAAGCUGGAAUUACUAGUAAUCGUGGAAUCAGCGUGCCACGGUGAAAUGCGUUUCCCGGGUCU
rnacentral:rRNA from 1 species